AGUCUGGUGCCAGCAGCCGCGGUAAUUCCAGCUCCAAUAGCGUAUAUGAAAGUUGUUGCAGUUAAAAUGCUCGUAGUUGGAUUUCGGAUUGUUCAGUUGUGGUCCGCCGAAACGGCGUGUACCGCGCUUGGAUAUCCUUCCUUGGGGAUAAAAGUAGGUGAUUGGCCAAGCAAUUGGUUGGUCAUCCACUCCCCAUCUUUUACUUUGAGAAAAUUAGAGUGUUCAAAGCAGGCGUAACCCAGCCUUGAAUACUGUUAGCAUGGGAUAAUAAAACAGGACGAGAGUCUUAUUUUGUUGGUUUCUAGGGCUUUUGUAAUGAUUAAAAGGGACAGUUGGGGGCAUUUGUAUUCAGUUGUUAGAGGUGAAAUUCUAGGAUUAACUGAAGACAAACUACUGCGAAAGCAUUUGCCAAGGAUGUUUUCAUUAAUCAAGAACGAAAGUAGGGGGAUCGAAGAUGAUCAGAUACCGUCGUAGUCUCUACCAUAAACUAUGCCGACCAAGGAUUCGGAGAAGUUACGUGGAUGACUCCCCGAGCACUUUGUGAGAAAUCAUCAAGUUGUUGGGUUUUGGGGGGAGUAUGGUCGCAAGGCUGAAACUUAAAGGAAUUGACGGAAGGACACCACCAGGCGUGGAACCUGCGGCUUAAUUUGACCCAACACGGGAAAACUUACCAGGUCCAGACACAGUUAGGAUUGACAGAUUGAGAGCUCUUUCUUGAUUCUGUGGGUGGUGGUGCAUGGCCGUUCUUAGUUGGUGGAGUGAUCUGUCUGGUUAAUUCCGUUAACGAACGAGACCUUAACCUGCUAACUAGUCCCGGUUGUCCUUUCGGACAUGCCGGCUUUGACUUCUUAGAGGGACUAUUCGAUUUUUGCGCGAAUGGAAGCUUGAGGCAAUAACAGGUCUGUGAUGCCCUUCGAUGUUCUGGGCCGCACGCGCGUUACACUGACGAAUUCAACGAGUUUUCUCCCUUAUCUGGAAAGAUUGGGUAAUCUUUUGAAAGUUCGUCGUGCUGGGGAUUGAUGCUUGUAAUUAUUCAUCACGAACCAGGAAUGCCUAGUAAGCGCAUGUCAUCAACAUGUGCUGAUUACGUCCCUGUCCUUUGUACACACCGCCCGUCGCUCCUACCGAUUGAAUGGUCCGGUGAGAACUUUGGAUGGCGCAGUCUUUUACAAGUUGCCGCAAGGUGGCUUGGGGCUAUGUCAGAAAUUGCUCAAACCUUACCAUUUAGAGGAAGGAGAAGUCGUAACAAGGUAUCCGUAGGUGAACCUGCGGAUG
rnacentral:rRNA from 1 species